rnacentral:rRNA from 2 species
CCCGGUGGUAAUGGCAGGGGCUCCCCACCUGAUCCCAUCCCGAACUCAGUCGUUAAGUCCCCUUGCGCCGAUGGUACUACGUCUUAAGGCGUGGGAGAGUAGGACGCUGCCGGGU